rnacentral:rRNA from 1 species
UCCAGACUCCUACGGGAGGCAGCAGUGAGGAAUAUUGGUCAAUGGUCGGGAGACUGAACCAGCCAAGCCGCGUGAGGGAUGAAGGUACAGAGUAUCGUAAACCUCUUUUGUCAGGGAGCAAAGGCGUCCACGUGUGGACGAGAGGAGAGUACCUGAAGAAAAAGCAUCGGCUAACUCCGUGCCAGCAGCCGCGGUAAUACGGAGGAUGCGAGCGUUAUCCGGAUUUAUUGGGUUUAAAGGGUGCGUAGGCGGAGUGUCAAGUCAGCGGUAAAAAGUCGGGGCUCAACCCCGUCGUGCCGUUGAAACUGAUGUUCUUGAGUGGGCGAGAAGUAUGCGGAAUGCGUGGUGUAGCGGUGAAAUGCAUAGAUAUCACGCAGAACUCCGAUUGCGAAGGCAGCAUACCGGCGCCCAACUGACGCUGAAGCACGAAAGCGUGGGUAUCGAACAGGAUUAGAUACCCCGGUAGA